rnacentral:rRNA from 1 species
UGGGGAAUCUUGCGCAAUGGGCGAAAGCCUGACGCAGCAACGCCGCGUGGGGGAUGAAGGCCUUCGGGUUGUAAACCCCUUUCAGCAGGGACGAAACUGACGGUACCUGCAGAAGAAGCCCCGGCCAACUACGUGCCAGCAGCCGCGGUAAUACGUAGGGGGCGAGCGUUGUCCGGAUUCAUUGGGCGUAAAAGAGCUCGUAGGCGGCUUGGCAAGUCGGGUGUGAAACCUCCAGGGCUCAACCUGGAGAUGCCACUCGAUACUGCCAUGGCUAGAGUCCGGUAGGGGGACCACGGAAUUCCUGGUGUAGCGGUGAAAUGCGCAGAUAUCAGGAGGAACACCGGUGGCGAAGGCGGUGGUCUGGGCCGGUACUGACGCUGAGGAGCGAAAGCGUGGGUAGCAAACAGGAUUAGAUACCCUGGUAGUCCACGCCGUAAACGUUGGGCACUAGGUGUGGGGCCUUAUCAACGGGUUCCGUGCCGCAGCUAACGCAUUAAGUGCCCCGCCUGGGGAGUACGGCCGCAAGGCUAAAAAC